AGCUUUGGGCAGGGCAGUAUCGUAGCCAGUGAGGUUUAUCCAAGGUGCAAUUAUUGCUAAUAAGAAAUGAUUUUAGAAUUUGUUGAAUAUUUAUUUUUAAUAUUAAUAUAU
rfam:Cavia porcellus supercont2_12 genomic scaffold, whole genome shotgun sequence.